rnacentral:misc_RNA from 1 species
GAACGCACAUUGCGCCCGCCAGCAUUCUGGCGGGCAUGCCUGUUCGAGCGUCAUUUCAACCCUCGCGCCCAUCCGGGCUGCGGUGUUGGGGACCGGCACAACCCUCCCUCAGGCCUCCUGAGGGCUAGGGCGCCGCCCCCCAAAUGAAUUGGCGGUCUCGCUGCGGCCUCCCUUGCGUAGUAUCACACCUCGCACCGGAGCGCGGCGCGGCCACGUCGUAAAACCCCCGACUCUAUGAGUUUGACCUCGGAUCAGGUAGGAAUACCCGCUGAACUUAAG